rnacentral:rRNA from 1 species
CCUACGGGAGGCAGCAGUAGGGAAUCUUUCACAAUGGGCGAAAGCCUGAUGGAGCAACGCCGCGUGCAGGAUGAAGGCCUUCGGGUUGUAAACUGCUUUUAUAAGCGAGAAAUAUGAUGGUAACUUAUGAAUAAGGAUCGGCUAACUACGUGCCAGCAGCCGCGGUCAUACGUAGGAUCCGAGCAUUAUCCGGAGUGACUGGGUGUAAAGAGUUGCGUAGGUGGCAUAAUAAGUAGCUAGUGAAAUCUGGUGGCUCAACCAUUCAGACUAUUAGCUAAACUGUUAAGCUCGAGUGCGUUAGGGGUAAGUGGAAUUUCUAGUGUAGGGGUGAAAUGCGUAGAUAUUAGGAGGAACACCAAUGGCGUAGGCAGGUUACUGGGACGGUUCUGACACUGAGGCACGAAAGCGUAGGGAGCAAACGGGAUUAGAUACCCGAGUAGUC